CCUUCGAUAGCUCAGUUGGUAGAGCGGUGGACUGUAGAAGUUAAUACAACGCAAAUUUAGAUUGCAGAUAUCCAUAGGUCGCUGGUUCAAAUCCGGCUCGAAGGA
rnacentral:ncRNA from 12 species